rnacentral:misc_RNA from 1 species
GCGGAUUUUGUGGGUUACAAACACAAACUCAGUUAUUUUUUACGCAGUUUCAGCUCAUAACUGUUAAAUAAGUUCUUCAAUGUUGGACCCUGAGGCUUUAGCAGAUGAAAACUAUGUUACUGUGCCUCGUGGUGGUCCUAUUUACAUUUCUGAUAUGGUUGGUCCACUCACUAAGGUUGCUGACUUUGAGGUCAGCAUCUUCCAUGAACUUGAGCGCCUCAAGGCAGAGUUGUCCUCUGAUUCACUGGAAAUGUUUGAUGA